CCUUUGUAAAAACACAUAAAGACUUUAAAAAAAAUGUAAAUAUAGUGUAUAUAUAAUGUUGUUGUGUUACGAUUGUUAAUUUAUUUUUCAUGUAAAUAUUAUUUUUAUUUAUUUUUUUUGGUGGUGGAACUGUUCGACAUACGGAAGUAUGGUUACCCUAUAAAGGGUGUAAAAGAUCCAGAGAAGAAGAAGAAGUUCCUUUGUUCCCCAUUUUUUACCUGUCCCUUCCUAAAUUUUACUUUAUGCAUAAAUUUAUACAUUCAUGGAUAUUUCAUUGUUAUUCAACUUGUUUGCAUUGGAUUAACUAUUCUAUUUUCCGUGGAAUAUUCUAACAGAAAUUGUACAGUAUCCGUAAGCAUACGGUGUUGAAAACUAUCAACAAUCUAGUCAAAAUCGUCCCAAAAUUAUACUCAAUGCGC
rnacentral:lncRNA from 1 species